GAUGAACGCUGGCGGCGUGCCUAAUACAUGCAAGUCGAGCGAACGGACGAGAAGCUUGCUUCUCUGAUGUUAGCGGCGGACGGGUGAGUAACACGUGGAUAACCUACCUAUAAGACUGGGAUAACUUCGGGAAACCGGAGCUAAUACCGGAUAAUAUUUUGAACCGCAUGGUUCAAAAGUGAAAGACGGUCUUGCUGUCACUUAUAGAUGGAUCCGCGCUGCAUUAGCUAGUUGGUAAGGUAACGGCUUACCAAGGCAACGAUGCAUAGCCGACCUGAGAGGGUGAUCGGCCACACUGGAAGUGAGACACGGUCCAGACUCCUACGGGAGGCAGCAGUAGGGAAUCUUCCGCAAUGGGCGAAAGCCUGACGGAGCAACGCCGCGUGAGUGAUGAAGGUCUUCGGAUCGUAAAACUCUGUUAUUAGGGAAGAACAUAUGUGUAAGUAACUGUGCACAUCUUGACGGUACCUAAUCAGAAAGCCACGGCUAACUACGUG
rnacentral:rRNA from 1 species